rnacentral:ribozyme from 14 species
AGAACGUAGUAUAAAAAAAAAAAAAAAAAACUGAAAGCUUUUGUAUUUUGGUGUGUACAGUACUAUUAUGUUAUUGUUGUUUUA